UACGUAGGGGGCUAGCGUUGCUCGGAAUGACUGGGCGUAAAGGGCGCGUAGGCGGAUGUCCCAGUCAGAUGUGAAAUUCCCGGGCUUAACCUGGGGGCUGCAUUUGAUACGUGUUGUCUUGAGUUCGGAAGAGGGUCGUGGAAUUCCCAGUGUAGAGGUGAAAUUCGUAGAUAUUGGGAAGAACACCGGUGGCGAAGGCGGCGACCUGGUCCGACACUGACGCUGAGGCGCGAAAGCGUGGGGAGCAAACAGG
rnacentral:rRNA from 1 species